CUCUCUCUCUCUCUCUCUCUCUCAACUCUCAAGAUACCAAAAGGGUACGUUCGAUCCAAGCACCCAAGCUUGCUGUCUCUCUCUCCCCACAAAACUCUGUUCAGUCACUCUCGCUCUCUCUCGUCUCUCUAUAUCCGCACGCUCUGAGAGCCGCAGGCCAGGUCUUGAAAAAAUAUCAAAAACAAAACUCAACUACAGAAGAUCGGAGAGAAUCGCAGAAAUAGCCGAGAAAUCGUUUAAAAAAAAAAAACUUGAUGGAAAAAUAGAGAAAAAGAAUUUAAAUUCAGAUCCUCUCUUUCUAAAGAUAUUACCGUACGCAUAUUUAGUUCUUCCUCUCCAGCCAGAUCUCCUUUCUUCAUAAAUCCUCAAAUCAAAGUUCCUUAUCUCCAUCUUCUCUGUUUGAGAAGCUCAGUCAUAUGGUCAUGAAACCGAGGCUUUGGAUCAAUUUUGGGACUAAAGAAUAGACGGUCAAGAUUGAUUGCUUGAGAUCAUAGUAUUUUUCUUUUUUUCUUUUUACUGGGUUUCUUGUUUGAGCUGUUAUUUGUUGUUGCUCCUGAGAUGGGGAGUAGUUCUGGUGAGGCUAAAUCCAACGGUAUCGAUGCGUCGGUGGGCGGAUUGGUUUGGGUCCGUCGCCGAAACGGGUCGUGGUGGCCGGGCCGCAUAAUGGGCCUUGACGAGUUGUCCGAGGGUUCCUUGGUUUCGCCGAGAUCGGGGACUCCCGUUAAGCUUCUGGGCCGCGAGGACGCAAGUGUGGAUUGGUAUAAUCUUGAAAAAUCUAAGAGGGUUAAGGCAUUUCGUUGUGGGGAAUAUGAUGAAUGCAUUGAAAAGGCAAAGGUAUCUGCAGCUAAUUCCAAUAAAAAAGCUGUUAAAUACGCUCGGAGGGAAGAUGCCAUUAUCCAUGCUCUUGAGAUUGAGAGUACUCGCCUUGGCACAGAUCGCUUGGAUUUCUUUCAACGGGAUAAUUCAGGUGGUGACCUUGGUAGUUCAGCCAGAGAGUCACCUAGCAUGUCUCGUUCUGUUGAAGAAAACGUGGAUCGGGGUGACGAUGCUAGUGAUUCUGAAGACAAUUCAAAUUCAGCACCAGAGUUAUCUCAAUCUGGUUUAUCUUUUGAAGAGCCAAAUCAUAAUAAUCCUGCUAAGGUGCAAUCUGUCCUGGGAAGAAGAAGAAGGACCCCAAAUGAUUCGGAGGAUGAUGGAACAGAAGGAGUUAAGCGUAUGAGAGGACUUGAGGACCUGGGCAUGGGUGUCAUGUCAAAAAGAAAAGCUGGAGGGAUGCUCGAUCUAGUUCAACAAGAUAGUGCUUCACUCUGUGAUUCAAGUGCCGGGAAUUGGAUAUCUAAUGGGAGUCCUGUUAAUGGUGGCAAAGGUUAUUUGCCGUCACUCAAAAGGAAGAGAUCUCAAGUGGCAAAUGUUCAUGAAUUUUUGAAAAGGAAAAACCGUCGCCGACCAUUGACAAAGGUUUUGGAGUGUACAGCCAUGGUUUCUGUUCCAGUUAUUUGUGAUCAAUUUCCCAGUUCAAGUGGUUCACCUCUUCAGGGUAUGUCUGAUAGCAGGGUUUCAGGACUGGAAUCUAAUGACUCAAAGAAAUCUGUGAUUGUGAACAACAAUUCUGACAGCACUGGAGUUUCGUGUGAGAAUGGAGUCCCUUUAAAUGCUUCUGAACAUGCCUGUGAUGCUUCCCAAAUCCUUUACAAGACUAAGGAGAAUGAAAUUUCCAGCACAGCUGGGUUAGCUGAGAAUGGUUCUUCUGAUAAGUUAUUUGAUGUGCCAUUUGUUGGGGAGGAAAAACACACUGAAGGUUUUUCGCCUAUACCCGUGUCUGUCGCUUUGGGAAGGCAAUCUUGUCAAGGUAGUCAAGCUGAAGCUGCAUUGUUGAGAAAUGAGGGACUUAAUGAAUCUGGUUCUACCAGUACAGCUACUGUUCAUAUUACUAAUAUUAGCCAGAGGAUAGAGAAAGGUACUUCAAAGUGGCAGUUAAAACGAAAGAGGAAUUCAAGACAUUUAAGUAAAAAUAGAAAACAGGGCUCCAGAAAAUAUGUGGACAUGGAUGAUGAAUCCAAUGCUUAUUUGGCAGGUAUAGAGGAUUUGGAGGGUUCAGAUCAGAAAGUUGAUGGCACUGGCGUUGGUGGAUGCCUCACAUCAUAUAAUUGUACCUUGCGACCAAAGUGCAAAUCAGUUGCCGAAGGCUCGGUAAAUGGUUUCAGGGACUGGGGCAAGCAAAUGUCUCAGAGGGAUUCUCAUACAAGAGUGCCAAUAGCUGAAGUGAAUCUAUCACCCAAAGGCUCUUUGACACCCCAAAGGUCACUUCCGUAUCGUCAGUCCCGCUUUACAGUUCACUCCAGAUAUCAGAUACCAGAUUUUCCUGUCAGAAAUAUUUCCACUGAUGCUUCACUGUAUGAUGUUAAGAUUGAAGUGAAAGCAAGCUAUCGGCCACAGCAUGUGCCAUUGGUUUCCCUCAUGAGUAAGUUGAAUGGUAAAGCUAUUGUUGGUCACCCUCUCACAGUCGAGGUUUUGGAUGAUGGCCAUUGUGAUUAUCUGUUGAGAAGCAUGGAGUGUAAUCUCAAAGUUGGUGAAAGGCGUAAUGCUGCCAGGGCAAAUUCAGUAUCCGGAAGAGCUCCUGCCAAGCUCUUGGCAUUGCAACCCCGUUUUUCACCUGUUAAAUUACCAAAAAUAAAGAAAUCUGGGUUAUUGUCUAAAAAGAUACGGAAACUUUCUUCCUUGACUGGUCACAAGCAGUCCGAAGAAGAGCAGAAACCAGUGGUAGAUAAGCCUAAAGGUCCUGUUGUAGCCUGUAUCCCACUAAAAGUAGUAUUCAGUAGAAUAAACGAAGCAGUGAAUGGAUUGGCAAGGCCAACACACCGUGUGUUGACAUCGAGCAUCCCAUAAAUUUGGUUCUGGUGGAGGAGUUGCAGUUGCUGGAUUCUACCUGUGACUUUGGUUUGGUGUCUUAGAUAUCUUGUCUUCAGUUUUGAACCUCAAGAAUGAAGUUGGUGUUGGGCAUCUCUUGUCAGUUUGAUUUGGUCUCAAUAAAAAAGUGAUGAUGAUUUCUUCUGAACUGCAGCAUCUUUAAUGUAUGUAAUUGGGAGUUCGUUCCAGGCAUUUCAAUUUUUCACCCCUCUUGUACUUCUGUAUUUAAUGCAAUUAAAAUUCUUUAAUGUAACCGUUGCUCUUUGUCUCCCUGUACCUUUGCAAGUCUUGGUCCUCUUGGAUGGCCUCAUUGAACACGCUGCAUUCUCUUGAACUAGUGAUGAGCAUGGCCCUAUGCAUUUAGUACAAAUUUGCUUUUGAGUCAGGCAAGACUUGGACCCAAGCAAGACUAUAGCCAACGUUACCACAGCCACAGGCAAUGUUAACUUAGAUCAGGUGUUCCUAUUUGCUUCAGUUUGUGUAGGCCGGAGUGUUUUUUAUUUUUGUCAUAAAGGAUACAGUUUGGAUUUUUGGCACAUUGGUUUUGUUUUGUUUUAUUUUAUUUAAGGUGUAGUCUUUGUAAAUAGUAACUACGCUGUUUUUUUCUUUUUGUUGGUCAUAAGUUAGAGUUAUUAAUA